ensembl:rRNA 5S_rRNA 5S ribosomal RNA
UCUAGCAGCCAUAUCACCCUGCAACUCACAACUGGCAGCCCACUGAAGCUAAGCAGGUGUGAGCCUGGUCAGUACCUGGAUGGAGACCUCCUGGGAGAAACUAAGGUUGCUGCUGGAA